CUUGUUAAUUAAAUGCUUGCUUAAACCUGCUGCCCAUCACUAUUGGGACUUGGAAAUGUUUUAGGGCAUGCAACAUAGUGGCAGAUGGGUUACUGGGGACAUAAUAACAAAAGGAAUUAGCCACCCCAUUCUGAUACUUUGCUUUUGUUGUCAUAUGAAUGGACCUCUUCUGUCACAAUUACUGCCUCUUUGACUCAAACCGACUAUGAGAAGUGGCAAAGGACAGGAUGUUCUGAAACUUCUAACACUUGAAAUGGAUCUAUAACAAUAAUAAUGACAUCUGGAAGCCAUUCCUGGGAAAAGAAAAGACCAAGGCCAGUGGAAUGCAGCAUGUGGAUAAAUAUUGCAAGUUCAGCUAUGUGACUAGAAUCCAACUUCACAGCAUUAAAGGCAGUUUAAACCACCAGGACAUGAAGAAAUGAAAUGCAAAUCUGCUGUAUAAUUUUAUAUUUUCAAUUUGUAAAAUGUCCUCAGUGUCCCAAAGAAGAAAUAGAAAGAGACAAAUGUCAUUCCAUAGGAAAGAUGAAGUUCCUCCCACAACCUUGAAAGUAAUGCACUCUACCCACUCAACAAGUUGCUCCCUUAUCCCUCAUUCUCAAGGACUCUGUUUUAAUUUUAUGGCAUACAAAUCCUAUGAAGGCAAUUCUAUGAAAAUAGCAAUACAUUGGAAAAGAAGUAUUAAGGGUCAGCACCAAAGACCCCUUCUCUGAGGCCCACUCUGCCUAGGAGAGUGCCACUAAAUAGCCUCAUGAAGAAUUUGAAAAUUAAGACAGGAUGAACGCACAAGCAU